rnacentral:rRNA from 1 species
GAUCCUGGCUCAGAUUGAACGCUGGCGGCAUGCCUUACACAUGCAAGUCGAACGGUAGAGUAGCAAUACUUAAGAGUGGCGAACGGGUGAGUAAUAUAUCGGAACGUGCCCAGUCGUGGGGGAUAACGUAGCGAAAGUUACGCUAAUACCGCAUACGAUCUAAGGAUGAAAGCGGGGGAUCGCAAGACCUCGCGCGAUUGGAGCGGCCGAUAUCAGAUUAGGUAGUUGGUGAGGUAAAGGCUCACCAAGCCGACGAUCUGUAGCUGGUCUGAGAGGACGACCAGCCACACUGGGACUGAGACACGGCCCAGACUCCUACGGGAGGCAGCAGUGGGGAAUUUUGGACAAUGGGCGCAAGCCUGAUCCAGCAAUGCCGCGUGCAGGAUGAAGGCCUUCGGGUUGUAAACUGCUUUUGUACGGAACGAAACGGUGAGCUCUAAUACAGUUUGCUAAUGACGGUACCGUAAGAAUAAGCACCGGCUAACUACGUG